AGUGAACGCUGGCGGUAGGCCUAACACAUGCAAGUCGAACGGCAGCACAGUAAGAGCUUGCUCUUACGGGUGGCGAGUGGCGGACGGGUGAGGAAUACAUCGGAAUCUACUUUUUCGUGGGGGAUAACGUAGGGAAACUUACGCUAAUACCGCAUAAGACCUACGGGUGAAAGCAGGGGAUCUUCGGACCUUGCGCGAUUGAAUGAGCCGAUGUCGGAUUAGCUAGUUGGCGGGGUAAAGGCCCACCAAGGCGACGAUCCGUAGCUGGUCUGAGAGGAUGGUCACCCACACUGGAUCUGCGACACGGUCCAGACUCCUGCGUGAGGCAGCAGUGGGGAAUAUUAGACAAUGGGCGCAAGCCUGAUCCAUCCAUACCGCGUGAGUGAAGAAGGCCUUCGGGUUGUAAAGCCCUUUUGUUGGGAAAGAAAAGCAGCAGGUUUAUACCCCGCUGUUCUGACGGUACCCAAAGAAUAUGCACCGUCUAACUUCGUG
rnacentral:rRNA from 1 species